GCCUUAAAUUUUUAAGCUAAAACGGUUAAAGAUUUUAUAAAAAUCAAAAAAUUGAAAUAAAAACUAAAAAGGAGUAUUGUAAUAAGAAACUUUAGUUAAGAGCUAUAUAGUUAGUACUGUAAAGGAAAAUUGAAAUAACAGUGUAAAUCUAAGAUAAAUAAAGGAAAAUUUAUUUCUUGUACCUUUUGUAUAAUGGUUGAGUAAGAUUAUACUAAGAGCGUUUUGUUCCCCGAAACUUGAUGAGCUAAUAUACUCUGUUUUAUAAGAAACAAAAAGGACACUGUUGCAAUAGUGUCCUUUGAGGGUAUAUUAGAUGUGAAAUGCUAAUCGCAUUAAGUUAUAGCUGGUUCUUCAAGAAAUUAAUUUAAGUUGAUGGUGAAGUUAUAAAAUAAAAAGUUCUUUACAGAAAAAAACACUUUUUUAUAAAAAUUCAUUUUCAGACAAGUAGGGACAAGCUUAUUUGUCAAGAAGGAAAAAGCCUUAAUAAAUAAUUAAGAGCAUGAUUUAUAAAAAUAUUUAAUAAAAGAAAAGUAGGAUUAAUAGCAUCUAACUAAAUUAAAAGCGUUAAAGCUUUUCUUUUUCUUACAAAAAUAUAAAAUAUUGGUUAGCUCAGAUCUCGAAGUUUUUAUUGGAAUUAUUGAAGACUUUUAUAAAAUUAUAAGAUAAUAUGCUUAAAUUAGUAAAGUAUUAUAAUCAGUUGUGUAUUAACCAUUCCUAACUUUGGAAGGAAAGAAACUAAAAAUAAUCAGGAAUAAUAUUUCUAAGCAAUGUCUUCCAACCCAGGUGAUUAUUAAAUUUAAUCAAAUAAGAAAAAGGAACUCGGCAAAUGUUGACCUCGCCUGUUUACCAAAAACAUCGCCCCUUGCAAAAAAAUUAAUGAAUAAGGGGUCCUGCCUGCCCAGUGACUUAGUUAAACGGCCGCGGUAUCUUGACCGUGCAAAGGUAGCAUAAUCAUUUGCCUCUUAAAUAGAGGCUGGUAUGAAUGGCAAGACUGGGGUUAAGCUGUCUCUUUCUUAUAACUUGAAUUUUAUAUUUUCGUGAAGAAGCGGAAAUAAACUCGUAGGACGAGAAGACCCUGUCGAGCUUUAGUAAAAAUAUUAGUGGUAAUAAAGAAUAAUAAAUCUAAUGUUAAACUUAUAAAAAUUUUAUAAAAUCUAAUUUUUUAUUCUUAGCCUUUUAAUAUACUAACUUUGAUUGGGGCAAUCGCGGAGUAUAAAAAUCCUCCGCUAAAAACAUAAAAAAUAACCAUUUUAAAAUAAAGUGAUCCGCUACAUAGCGAGCAAAGGAAUAAGUUACCGCAGGGAUAACAGCGUAAUUUUUUUGGAGAGUUCAUAUUGAUAAAAAAGUUUGCGACCUCGAUGUUGGAUCGAGAUUUCCUAGAGAUGCAGCAGUCUCUGAGGGUUGGUCUGUUCGACCAUUAAAAUCUUACGUGAUCUGAGUUCAGACCGGCGUAAGCCAGGUCAGUUUCUAUCCACGAAAGUUGUACUUUUCUUAGUACGAAAGGACCAGAAAAGUAGUGCCAAUUUUUAAAAAAAAGCACUAAAAAAACUGUUGAAAAAAAAAUGAAACUUUUUACAAAAAAAUUUCAAGAAAUCUUAUUUUAG
rnacentral:rRNA from 1 species